rnacentral:rRNA from 1 species
CAGCCGCCGCGGGAAUACGUAGGCCCCGAGCGUUGUCCGGAUUUAUUGGGCGUAAAGCGAGCGCAGGCGGUUAGAUAAGUCUGAAGUUAAAGGCUGUGGCUUAACCAUAGUACGCUUUGGAAACUGUUUAACUUGAGUGCAAGAGGGGAGAGUGGAAUUCCAUGUGUAGCGGUGAAAUGCGUAGAUAUAUGGAGGAACACCGGUGGCGAAAGCGGCUCUCUGGCUUGUAACUGACGCUGAGGCUCGAAAGCGUGGGGAGCAAACAGGAUUAGAUACCCGAGUAGUCCCUGUCUCUUAUACA